UAGGGAAUAUUGGGCAAUGGAUGCAAGUCUGGCCCAGCCAUGCCGCGUGCGGGAAGAAGGCCUUCGGGUUGUAAACCGCUUUUGUCAGGGAAGAAAUCCUUUGAGCUAAUACCUCGGGGGGAUGACGGUACCUGAAGAAUAAGCACCGGCUAACUACGUGCCAGCAGCCGCGGUAAUACGUAGGGUGCAAGCGUUAAUCGGAAUUACUGGGCGUAAAGCGUGCGCAGGCGGUUAUGCAAGACAGAUGUGAAAUCCCCGGGCUCAACCUGGGACCUGCAUUUGUGACUGUAUAGCUAGAGUACGGUAGAGGGGGAUGGAAUUCCGCGUGUAGCAGUGAAAUGCGUAGAUAUGCGGAGGAACACCGGUGGCGAAGGCAAUCCCCUGGACCUGUACUGACGCUCAUGCACGAAAGCGUGGGGAGCAAACA
rnacentral:rRNA from 1 species